rnacentral:sRNA from 1 species
AUAGCCGAAGUUCGUAAAUUGAAAUUGAACAUGCGUAAUUAAUCUUUCUGAAUAGGAAAAAAUAUAUACACAACAAAACUCUCCGUUUAUGGAACAUGCGCAUUCGUUCUCAGUAAGUUUUUCGUGUUGAAAGUGAGCAUGCGCAUGGUGAGUAGGUUGGUCCGAAGUUUGAACCGGACAGUAGCUCUGCUCCGCGUCUGGCGGUUGUUUUUAGAGGCAAUACACCUAGUUUGUGGCUCAGCAUGUCAAUUGUAACAGUGCAACUUGGUCAGUGUGGCAAUCAGAUUGGUUUUGAAGUUUUUGAUGCUUUGCUUAGUGAUUCACACAGUUCCCAGGGACUCUGCUCUAAGAGAGAGAAUGAGGCAUAUCAAGCAUCUUGCAAAGAAAGAUUCUUCAGUGAGGAGGAGAAUGGAGUUCCAAUUGCCCGGGCUGUUCUUGUUGACAUGGAACCCAAAGUUAUCAAUCAAACGCUGUCAAAGGCUGCCCAGUCUGGCCAGUGGAAAUAUGGUCAACAUGCAUGCUUCUGUCAAAAACAAGGUUCUGGAAACAACUGGGCAUAUGGGUUAUUGUUCAAAACUACAACUCCAUUUUGACAC